CUCCUACGGGGGGCAGCAGUAGGGAAUUUUCGUCAAUGGGCGCAAGCCUGAACGAGCAAUGCCGCGUGAACGAGGAAGGUCUUCGGAUCGUAAAGUUCUGUUGAAGGGGAAAAAGAGCGGAGAGAGGAAAUGGUCUCCGAUUGAUAUUACCCUUCGAGGAAGUCACGGCUAACUACGUGCCAGCAGCCGCGGUAAUACGUAGGUGGCAAGCGGUGUCCGAAUUUAUUGGGCGUAAGGCGAGUGCAGGCGGUUGAAGAAAU
rnacentral:rRNA from 1 species